UAAAAUUCAAUGAAGAGAAAAGUACACUUCGCAAAUUUUAAGAGAGGUUCUGGAUGGUGCAAAGAACUAAUUUAAUAAGUAGAAAAAUGGUCUCUGAGAAAAACUGUUGAUAAGUAAGCAGUUUCGGAAAAGUUCAUCCGUUAUAUUUGAACGCCAAUCUCAUGAUAGAUGAUGUUGGACAAAGAGAAGUGCAAGCUUCUAAACAAAGGUGGUACCGCGAUAUAUUCGCCCUUUUA
rnacentral:ncRNA from 1 species